ensembl:lncRNA
UCUCUCUAUUUUCUCCACUUUUUGGUUUUGCUUCGAUGUAAAUCCUGAAAAUCUUUCAAAGGAAACUAAAAGUUGAACCAGAACUUCUUCGUCCACGAAGCAAAGCGUUUUCUGUUUUUUUUUUUCUCUUUUUCUCACUAUAAAUGUAAACGACGAGGCGUCUGGUUUCCUCAGAACGAUUCACCUCAUAUAAUAAAGACUUCGUCCAUCUUCACAGCAGAAGAUCUCGCUGCUUCAACGCUUCCCUCGAACUCUUCUUCUCUCUGGAACCUGAAGCUUCUCCGACUCCUCCGUUUGGCUUUAAGCUCCAGAGAGAAGAUGAAAAAAUAAAAACCUCCAGAAGCUCCCCUCACAGCGCCCCCCCGAAGCAACAAAAUUAUCUUUUUCCGUCUUUUUUUUAAUGGUUAGUGAUGCUCUUUAAGAGGAGGACAAAUUAAAGGAAAACUCACAGCUGCCUGUUUAAAGAUGCUACAACUUCGCUUUCAGAAAAAAACUAAACAAAAAAACAGACUUGCCCCCUCAGGAAAAAAAAGAACCCCCGGAUUAGAAACGUUUAUCUGCAGUUUGAAUUUGAACCUUUAAUUGGGUGAAGCCGGCCUCGGAUACAUUCACCAAGUUAGAUUUAAAGUUCAGCCACAAAAACCCGAAGAAAGAGAGGAAGCUGAAGGCGUCGUUUUGUCCGUACAGAAACCCAGCGUUAAUCGGCCAACAGAUCCACGGCCAAACUUCAGUUGUGUUUUUUAAAAGAACCUCGAAUCGGAACUCGAGUGGAAAAAGGGAGAAACAGUCGCAUUUAAAGAAAGCUGCCCUUUUUAUUGCAACGUUCACAUUUCAAAUAAACAUUGGGGAGGGAGGAGGAGGACUUUGAGUGGUUGGUUUUUUUCUCUUUUUGCAUAACGGAUGUUUGGAUUUAAUUUGUGCUCUGCUGCAGGCGAUGAACGGACGACGAGUGCACGUGGAGGAAGUAAGGCACUUAAGUGACGACAGCAGUGAAGAGGACAGAUGCUAAAAAAGAAAAAAACCCGGUGGUCUCGGAACAGAUCGGUUCGCUGGUUUCAAAACGACGCCUUUAACUUCCCCCCUGUUAAAAGAACGAGGCAGCUCUCUGAGGAAAAGCAAAAGAAGUGAAAUAAAAUCCGUCUGACAGGCUCCGAAAACUAAAGAGUGGAGAUGAAGAGUUGCCUGAAGCGCUGACGUCUGUGCAAAAGCCGGAGAGUCGAAGUUCU